rnacentral:rRNA from 1 species
UUAGAGUUUGAUCCUGGCUCAGGACGAACGCUGGCGGCAUGCCUAAUACAUGCAAGUCGAACGCUGAAGCACUCUGCUUGCAGAGUGCGGAUGAGUGGCGAACGGGUGAGUAACACGUGGGAAAUCUGCCUAGGAGUGGGGGAUAACAUUCGGAAACGGAUGCUAAUACCGCAUAUCUUCUGGAACCGCAUGGUUCUUGAACGAAAGACGGCUUCGGCUGUCGCUCUUAGAUGAUCCCGCGGCGUAUUAGUUAGUUGGUGGGGUAAAGGCCUACCAAGACCAUGAUACGUAGCCGACCUGAGAGGGUGAUCGGCCACACUGGGACUGAGACACGGCCCAGACUCCUACGGGAGGCAGCAGUAGGGAAUCUUCCACAAUGGACGAAAGUCUGAUGGAGCAAUGCCGCGUGAAUGAAGAAGGUCUUCGGAUCGUAAAGUUCUGUUAUUAGAGAAGAACAAGUUGAGGAGUAACUGUCUCAACUUUGACGGUACCUAACCAGAAAGUCACGGCUAACUACGUGCCAGCAGCCGCGGUAAUACGUAGGUGACGAGCGUUGUCCGGAAUUAUUGGGCGUAAAGGGAGCGCAGGCGGUUGGAAUAGUCUGAUGUGAAAGCCCACGGCUUAACCGUGGAAGGUCAUUGGAAACUGUCCAACUUGAAUGCAGAAGAGGUAAGUGGAAUUCCAAGUGUAGCGGUGAAAUGCGUAGAUAUUUGGAGGAACGCCAGUGGCGAAGGCGACUUACUGGUCUGUAAUUGACGCUGAGGCUCGAAAGCGUGGGUAGCAAACAGGAUUAGAUACCCUGGUAGUCCACGCCGUAAACGAUGAGUGCUAAGUGUUGGGAGGUUUCCGCCUCUCAGUGCUGGAGUUAAC